GACGAACGCUGGCGGCGUGCUUAACACAUGCAAGUCGAACGGAAAGGCCCUGCUUUUGUGGGGUGCUCGAGUGGCGAACGGGUGAGUAACACGUGAGUAACCUGCCCUUGACUUUGGGAUAACUUCAGGAAACUGGGGCUAAUACCGGAUAUGAGCUCCUGCUGCAUGGGGGGGGUUGGAAAGUUUCGGCGGUUGGGGAUGGACUCGCGGCUUAUCAGCUUGUUGGUGGGGUAGUGGCUGACCAAGGCUUUGACGGGUAGUCGGCCUGAGAGGGUGACCGGCGACAUUGGGACUGAGAUACGGCCCAGAGUCGUACGGGAGACAACAGUGGGGAAUAUUGAACAAUGGGCGGAAGCCUGAUGCAGCAGCGCCGCGUGCGGGAUGUCGUCAUUCGGGUUGUAAACCGCUUUCGCCUGUGACGAAGCGUGAGUGACGGUAAUGGGUAAAGAAGCGCCGGCUAACUACGUG
rnacentral:rRNA from 1 species